GAUGAAGAACGUAGCGAAAUGCGAUAAGUAAUGUGAAUUGCAGAAUUCCGUGAAUCAUCGAGUCUUUGAACGCACAUUGCGCCCCCUGGUAUUCCGGGGGGCAUGCCUGUCCGAGCGUCAUUGCUGCCCUCAAGCACGGCUUGUGUGUUGGGCCUCCGUCCUCCUCCCGGGGGACGGGCCCGAAAGGCAGCGGCGGCACCGCGUCCGGUCCUCGAGCGUAUGGGGCUUCGUCACCCGCUCUUGUAGGCCCGGUCGGCGCUUGCCGACACAUCAAUCUUUUUUCCAGGUUGACCUCGGAUCAGGUAGGGAUACCCGCUGAACUUAAGCAUAUCAAUAAGCGGAGGA
rnacentral:misc_RNA from 1 species